GCUCAGACGAACUCAAUAAUUUUUUCUUGAUCCUGUAUUUUUAUUAGAAAAAUUAUUAUAUUAUAUAUAUACUCCCCCUGUCUCAUAUUAGUUGUCUUGUUUCGCUUUCGAGAGACAAGUUGACUAAUUUUUGGAGCUAAAUUUAAUUAGAUCAAUUCAAUAUUUUAAAAUUAUAAUUUAGAUAUUCAAAAACUACACAAAAAGUACUACAAACUGCAAUUCUUCUCAUAUUAAUAUAGUGAAAAAAUAUCUCAAAAUAUUGGUCAAAAAUGAUAUAAUUUGACUUUUAAAAAAGGAAAGUGGAUAAGUAAUAUGGGACGGAUGGAAAAAAAAAAAAUAUAUAUAUAUAUAUGUUGAUAAAUAUAGUAACUAAAUUUAACCGGGAAAAUAAGCUAAGGCAAACAUACUGCAAAGUCAUAGUAUUCGAGUAUGUUUGGAACAAGGAGAGUAAGUUUUUUGGUGAAGAAAUUUUUUUUUAUUGAUCAAUCACCACUAACAGUUACAUAGAUGCCUCCUUAUCUACCUCUCAAUCUCAAAACAAAAUUCGCCCUUGAUGAAGAUAUUAUGGGUUCACGUGCCCCAUAUUUUAGCUAUAAAUUCUCCCCUGAUGCAAAGUAAGUAAACUGUCUACCUGUUCUCUUUCUCUAGCACUCGGCUUCCUAGACAAAAAAGAAGCUCUUCUCAGUUUGCACUUCUGCUUGAGUUGUAUUAUCAAAUAUAAUGGUCUGGUGAUGGGAGUUUUAAAUCCCAUACAACAUUGUUCCUUGCCUUCUUUUGUUUGUAUUUUGCUUCUUCUCCUCUCUUCUCCUUCAGGCUUCAGGUACGCUUCUCUCUUUCUCCUCCUCCUCCUUCUUCUUCUUCUUCUUCAGUUCUUCUUCUCUGUUCCUCCUCUGUUUUCGACUUCUUCUUCUUCUUCUUCUUCUUCUUUUCUCCUUUGUUUUCGGCGACUUUUUUCUUCCUUUGCAUAUUUUUUCUCCCUCUUCUAUUUUCUUCUUCUUUUUCUGUACGCGCGACUUUCUCCUCUGUUUUUUUUCUUUUUCUAUUUUCUCUUCUGUUUUUUUUUUUUCUCUUCUGCACCAGUGACUGUUUUGCUCCUGUUUUUUUUAAUGAAUUAUUGAGUCAUUUAAGUUCUAGACUUUUAGUAUCUAUUAUCUACUUUUAAUUUUUGAAUUGAAAUAUUUGCUAAUACGUUAUUGCUAGUGAGAUUUUGAUUAUUUAUAUAUGCAAUUAAAUAUUUUAAUUUUUUGGUAUUUAUGAGCGCCGCACUUCAAAAAGGCGAGCGGCGCGCUCGCCUCCCCUGAUACGAUCCGGAAUGGCUUAAGUGCUCAAUUUUAUCCAAGAACUUGUGCUAGAAGCGAAGACAAGGACUUUCAAGCUUUAGAAGCCAUGUUCAUGAAGAAUGAAGCUAUGAAAGCACUUAAAGGGAGUCAUUGGAGGGCCUUCAAGCUAUGGAAGAUAGCAUGGAGGAAGAAGUCAAGAGACCAAGAGUCCAAGGCCUAAGGCUUGCCUCUUAAAGUGGCUACAAUUGCAAGCUUGGGUGAUUCAAGACAUGAAGAUGGCUAUUUGCGCAAAGGGCUAUUUAUGCAAGUGGCUACUUUGCGCAAGAACGGUUAUGCUUGCAACAAGGACAUGCAUGCAAGGUUGAUUAGAGGGCCAUCUAUGCAAGGAGGGACGUGUUUGGCCAUUGAAGGUUAAUCCUCGAAUUGAAGACUACACUAAGAAGACUAGCCAAACAAGGCCUUUGCCUCAUUAAUGACAUUUUGUAAUAACUUAGCCUUCUUUAAUCUAGGAGUAUAACUACUAGACUUAGACAUUUCAUUUACUUAGAUUAUGUUGAAUUGAGAUGAAUACUCUAAAUUGAGUGAUAGUUUGUUUGGUAGUUUAGUGUAGUGCUAAUCUAGUGAUUAGUGAUAGUUAAUCAUGGUGGAUUCCAUUGUUGGCUAUGAACCCCUUUUCCAUUGAUUUUCAAUAGAGUUGUUCAUUUGUGGAUUCAUUUGGAUUACUCUUGGUUGAUUAUCAAGUAGUAUAGGUUUGAUCGUAGGAAUCAAUUAGGAGGGUUUAGGUUUCAUAUACCUAAGUUUGCCUAUAAUUCCUUUACUAAUUGGGUCUUGCUUUUAUCCCUCUAUUUCUCAUCCCAAUUUCUU